rnacentral:rRNA from 1 species
AGUCGAACGGCAGCACGAGAGCUUGCUCUUGGUGGCGAGUGGCGAACGGGUGAGUAAUAUAUCGGAACGUAUCCAAUAAUGGGGGAUAACUAAUCGAAAGGUUGGCUAAUACCGCAUACGCCCUACGGGGGAAAGCAGGGGAUCUUCGGACCUUGCGUUAAUGGAGCGGCUGAUAUCUGAUUAGCUAGUAGGUGAGGUAAAGGCUCACCUAGGCUUCGAUCAGUAGCUGGUCUGAGAGGACGACCAGCCACACUGGAACUGAGACACGGUCCAGACUCCUACGGGAGGCAGCAGUGGGGAAUUUUGGACAAUGGGGGCAACCCUGAUCCAGCCAUUCCGCGUGAGUGAAGAAGGCCUUCGGGUUGUAAAGCUCUUUCGCAAGGGAAGAAACGUUACGAGCGAAUAACUCGUGAUAAUGACGGUACCUUGAUAAGAAGCACCGGCUAACUACGUGCCAGCAGCCGCGGUAAUACGUAGGGUGCGAGCGUUAAUAGGAAUUACUGGGCGUAAAGCGUGCGCAGGCGGUUUUGUAAGUCAGAUGUGAAAUCCCCGAGCUCAACUUGGGAACUGCGUUUGAAACUACAAGGCUAGAGUAUGGUAGAGGGGGGUAGAAUUCCACGUGUAGCAGUGAAAUGCGUAGAGAUGUGGAGGAAUACCAAUGGCGAAGGCAGCCCCCUGG